rnacentral:piRNA from 1 species
CCCCACUGAUGGUCCUGGGGCUGUGUAGU